GUAUAAACAAUAGUAACGAAGUAGUGUGAACAACGAAGAUAAUUAUACAUACAUAUAUAUAUAUAUAUACAUAUAUAAUAUUAGAAUGAACCAAAAAAGUUCGUGAAUUUGUAAUUAUGUUGAAAAUUUACCAUGAAGUUGCAUAAAAUGAAUUAUGUGGUUUAUAUUGUAGUAAAAUUUAUUUUUGUAAAUAAAAUAUUAACCCAUUUGAGAUUCACUUGCACACACACGGUAGGUGCAAUCAUAUUUAAAUAUUAUUAAUUAUUUUGAAUAAAAUACUCGUUCAUGUGGGUUUUUAUUGUAUUGAAAAUUUACUUUGAAAUUGCAUAAAAUGAAUUAUGUUUUUUAUUUUUGUAAAAUUUAUUUUUGCAAAUAAAAUAUUAACCCAUUUGAGAUUCACUUGCACACACACGGUAGGUGCAAUCAUAUUUAAAUAUUAUUAAUUAUUUUGAAUAAAAUAUUCGUUCAUGUGGGUUUUUAUUAUGUUGAAAAUUUACUGUGCAAAUUGCAUAUAAUAAAUUGCUUUUUUUAUAUUGUUGUAAAAUUUAUUUUUGCAAAUAAAAUAUUAACCCAUUUGAGAUUCACUUGCACAUACACGGUGUGUGCAAUCAUAUUUAAAUAUUAUUAAUUAUUUUGAAUAAAGUAUUCGUUCAUGUGGGUUUUUAUUGUAUUGAAAAUUUACUUUGAAAUUGCA